rnacentral:rRNA from 1 species
CCUACGGGUGGCAGCAGUGAGGAAUAUUGGUCAAUGGACGAGAGUCUGAACCAGCCAAGUAGCGUGAAGGAUGACUGCCCUAUGGGUUGUAAACUUCUUUUAUAUGGGAAUAAAACAGGGUAUGCAUACCCUCUUGUAUGUACCAUAUGAAUAAGGAUCGGCUAACUCCGUGCCAGCAGCCGCGGUAAUACGGAGGAUCCGAGCGUUAUCCGGAUUUAUUGGGUUUAAAGGGAGCGUAGGUGGAUUGUUAAGUCAGUUGUGAAAGUUUGCGGCUCAACCGUAAAAUUGCAGUUGAAACUGGAAGUCUUGAGUACAGUAGAGGUGGGCGGAAUGCGUGGUGUAGCGGUGAAAUGCUGAGAUAUCACGCAGAACUCCGAUUGCGAAGGCAGCUUACUGGGCUGUAACUGACACUGAUGCUCGAAAGUGUGGGGAUCAAACAGGAUUAGAUACCCUUGUAGUC